rnacentral:tRNA from 1 species
GGCCGUGUGGUGAAAUUGGCAGACACAACAGAUUUAAAUCCUGUCGGUCACAACAGACCUUGUGGGUUCGAGUCCCACCAUGGCCACCA